rnacentral:piRNA from 2 species
UCCUAGGACAGGGGCAUGAGAGCUCAGGAU